rnacentral:rRNA from 1 species
GACGAACGCUGGCGGCGUGCUUAACACAUGCAAGUCGAACGGAAAGGCCCUGCUUGCAGGGUUCUCGAGUGGCGAACGGGUGAGUAACACGUGGGUGAUCUGCCCUGCACUUCGGGAUAAGCCUGGGAAACUGGGUCUAAUACCGGAUAGGAGCCAUUUUUAGUGCGAUGGUUGGAAAGUUUUUUCGGUGUAGGAUGAGCUCGCGGCCUAUCAGCUUGUUGGUGGGGUAAUGGCCUACCAAGGCGGCGACGGGUAGCCGGCCUGAGAGGGUGGACGGCCACAUUGGGACUGAGAUACGGCCCAGACUCCUACGGGAGGCAGCAGUGGGGAAUAUUGCACAAUGGGCGCAAGCCUGAUGCAGCGACGCCGCGUGGGGGAGGACGGCCUUCGGGUUGGAAACUCCUUUCGCUAGGGACGAAGCUUUUUGUGACGGUACCUAGAGAAGAAGCACCGGCUAACUACGUG